GCAUACCUUCAAGAUAGUCGACAUCUGCUGAAUGGGGUGUUUCUAUUUUAUUUGAUGCAUAUAUUAUCUUUCUCAAUUCUGUGGCGUCGUGUAUGUUUUGUCAACUUCUGAAUUAAGAAGCAGUUGCUGGUUUGGAAGUAUCUAUUGAAUUUAUUCUGACAUCAGUAAAUUGAUGCAGGCAUGUAAUGCUCAUGGUCUACAUUGCGUUCCUUUGUACGACACCUUAGGUGCUGGGGCUGUGGAGUUUAUCAUAUGUCAUGCUGAGGUUACCAUUGCCUUUGUUGAAGAGAAAAAAAUUCCUGAGUUACUCAAAACCUUUCCAAAUGCAACAAAAUACUUAAAAACAAUUGUGAGUUUUGGGAAAGUUACCUCUCAACAGAAGGACGAAAUCGAGAAAUUUGGUGUGGUUGUGUAUGCUUGGGAUGAAUUUUUGUUAUUGGGUGAAAAUAAGAACUAUGACCUUCCACUGAAACGCAAAAAGCGACAUCUGUACAAUAAUGUAUACUAGUGGAACAACUGGAGAUCCUAAGGGUGUCAUGAUUUCAAAUAAUAGUAUUGUCACUCUCAUUGCUGGAGUGAAGCGUUUGCUAGUUAGCGUGAACGAAUCGUUGACUGUAAAUGAUGUCUAUCUGUCUUAUCUUCCUUUGGCACAUAUCUUUGACCGUGUGAUUGAAGAAUGUUUUAUUAAUCAUGGAGCCUCAAUAGGAUUUUGGCGUGGGGAUGUCAAAUUGUUAGUUGAAGACAUUGGGGAGCUAAAGCCAACCAUCUUUUGUGCAGUUCCUCGGGUUCUAGAUAGAAUUCACUCAGGCUUGCAACAGAAGAUAUCGGCAGGAGGUUUCAUAAAACAAACGAUGUUUAAUUUUGCAUAUGCCUACAAGUUGCGUAAUUUGAGGAAGGGGCUUAAGCAUGAUGAGGCAGCUCCUAUCUGUGACAAAAUCGUUUUCAGCAAGGUUAAACAAGGUUUAGGUGGGAAAGUACGGCUUAUUUUAUCUGGAGCAGCUCCCCUUGCUUCACAUGUUGAAGAAUAUCUAAGAGUGGUAUCUUGUGCUCAUGUACUUCAAGGAUAUGGUUUGACUGAAACAUGUGCUGGUACCUUUGUCUCUAUACCACAUGAGAUGCGUAUGCUGGGUACAGUGGGUCCUCCUGUUCCAAACGUGGAUGUCUGCCUGGAAUCUGUUCCUGAAAUGGGAUAUGAUGCCCUCUCAAGGACUCCACGUGGAGAAGUAUGUGUAAGGGGGAUACCUUGUUUUCAGGUUACUACAAACGUGAAGAUCUUACAAAAGAAGUCUUUGAAGAUGGAUGGUUCCAUACAGGGGAUGUUGGUGAGUGGCAGCCAAAUGGGAGCCUGAAGAUUAUUGACCGUAAAAAGAAUAUUUUCAAGCUCUCGCAGGGCGAGUAUGUAGCUGUGGAGAAUUUGGAGAAUGUUUAUGGUCUUGUUAGCGCUAUUGACUCGAUCUGGGUCUAUGGAAACAGCUUUGAAUCUUAUCUUGUUGCUGUUGUUAACCCAAAGAAGCAAGCAGUUGAAGAGUGGGCUCAAGAAAACGAAUUAACUGGAGAUUUCAAUUCUUUGUGUGAAAACCCUAAAGUGAAGGAAUACAUUCUUGGAGAGCUCAACAAGAUUGGAAAAGAAAAGAAGCUAAAAGGCUUUGAAUUUAUUAAAGCUGUGCACCUCGAUCCUGAACCAUUUGAUAUGGAACGUGACCUCCUCACACCAACAUUUAAGAAGAAAAGACCCCAAUUGCUCAAAUACUACCAGAAUGUAAUUGACAAUAUGUACAAGAGUGCCAAGUGAGCUUAUAGCAAGAGCAUAUACUUUCACUCUUUCGACGAAAUACGCGUUCCAGUUUGCCGUUUAUUGGUAUAACUUCCAACUCUUCUCCCUCUGUCUAACCUGUUUUGGCUUUGGGAUGUACAUAUUUACAGUGUACCGAACUGAGGAAUUAAUAAUGUACGUGAACUAUAUUUAUUUUAAAUCCUAAUGUUUUAUUUAUUUUCCUGGAGAAUUGUGAAGUUUCUUAUUCACAGAACGGGAACAGUAGAUUAGAUGCGAAGCUGAUUUAUAAAGUUUUACGCUCGUGUUCCCCA